AGCGAACGCUGGCGGCAGGCCUAACACAUGCAAGUCGAACGAACCUUUCGGGGUUAGUGGCGGACGGGUGAGUAACACGUGGGAACGUGCCUUUAGGUUCGGAAUAACUCAGGGAAACUUGUGCUAAUACCGAAUAUGCCCUUCGGGGGAAAGAUUUAUCGCCUUUAGAGCGGCCCGCGUCUGAUUAGCUAGUUGGUUGAGGUAAUGGCUCACCAAGGCGACGAUCAGUAGCUGGUCUGAGAGGAUGAUCAGCCACAUUGGGACUGAGACACGGCCCAAACUCCUACGGGAGGCAGCAGUGGGGAAUCUUGCGCAAUGGGCGAAAGCCUGACGCAGCCAUGCCGCGUGAAUGAUGAAGGUCUUAGGAUUGUAAAAUUCUUUCACCGGGGACGAUAAUGACGGUACCCGGAGAAGAAGCCCCGGCUAACUUCGU
rnacentral:rRNA from 1 species